AUGAACGCUGGCGGCGUGCCUAACACAUGCAAGUCGAGCGGGAAAUACAUGAGCGAAUCUUCGGAAGAGCAAUUGUAUGGAGAGCGGCGGACGGGUGAGUAACGCGUAGGCAACCUGCCCUAUACACAGGGAUAGCCUCGGGAAACCGGGAUUAAAACCUGAUGAUGCGACAAUUUCACAUGAUUUUGUCGCCAAAGAUUUAUCGGUAUAGGAUGGGCCUGCGUCUGAUUAGCUAGUUGGUGGGGUAACGGCUCACCAAGGCAACGAUCAGUAGCCGGCCUGAGAGGGUGAACGGCCACACUGGGACUGAGACACGGCCCAGACUCCUACGGGAGGCAGCAGUGGGGAAUAUUGCGCAAUGGGGGAAACCCUGACGCAGCAACGCCGCGUGAAUGAAGAAGGCCUUCGGGUUGUAAAGUUCUGUCAAUUGGGAAGAAGCCCCAGGGGUCAAUAGCUCCUGGGAUGACGGUACCUAAGAAGGAAGCUCCGGCUAACUACGUG
rnacentral:rRNA from 1 species